rnacentral:rRNA from 12 species
AGUUGUAAUUUGUAGAGGAUGCUUCUGGCGACGUGCCUUCCGAGUUCCCUGGAACGGGACGCCAUAGAGGGUGAGAGCCCCGUCCGGUCGUGCACCUAGCCUCUGUGAAGCUCCUUCGACGAGUCGAGUAGUUUGGGAAUGCUGCUCUAAAUGGGAGGUAUACGUCUUCUAAAGCUAAAUACCGGCCAGAGACCGAUAGCGCACAAGUAGAGUGAUCGAAAGAUGAAAAGCACUUUGGAAAGAGAGUCAAACAGCACGUGAAAUUGUUGAAAGGGAAGCGCUUGCAGCCAGACUUGCUUGCA